rnacentral:rRNA from 1 species
GUCCUAGCUGUAAACGGUGCAUAUUUGCUGUAAAAGGAUUCGACCCCUUUUGUGGCGAAGCUAACGCGAUAAAUAUGCCGCCUGGGAAGUACGGUCGCAAGAUUAAAACUCAAAGAAAUUGACGGGGGCCUGCACAAGCGGUGGAGUAUGUGGCUUAAUUCGAUGCAACGCGAAGAACCUUACCUGGCCUUGACAUGCAUUUAGUAGGAGGAUGAAAGUCCGACGAGGUAGCAAUACCAGGAUGCACAGGUGCUGCAUGGCUGUCGU